ACGCCUGUGACACCAGCGAGGCCACCCUCAGCAACUUGGCAAGACCGUGUCUCAAAAUAAAAAGAGCCGGGUUGUGCUCAGCAGUAGAACUCCCGGGGCCAAUCCUCGGGGACACACAUGCACAUCUCAGGAAGCCCCCAAUGGAGAAAGCGUGGGAAUCAGCUUUAGGUUGCCGGCUCCUGACUCGGUUCAGCAGGAGGAGGCCAGAGGGACAGUGAGGAGCCGGAGGAGGACGCCAGCGGCCCAGGCUCUCGCACCGCGCUGCCUCCCGGGCUCUCCUUCCCUGCGGACCUCCUGCACAGCGCAGCCUCCCCGGCGACCUCGGGCUGGGUCCCCUCAACCCCUGGGUGGUGCGGUGACUUUCUGCUCUUACCCGGCGUGGAACCUGCCUCCUGUUUGGUAGCGCCACGUUUCCUAAGUGGUGUGACCAACUCCCUGCACUAAACUCUCUCUGUUUUAAAAUAGCAGAUGUGCUUCUGCCUUCCUGGAGAGUCUCCGGCAGGGCAUGACAGAUCUAUAUGAAGACAUGAAAGGUGUAGACUCAAUACUGAUCGGUACAAAAGCAAGGGGCGGAGCGUGGUGUGCUGGAGGGUGUGAGAGCUGAAUUGCAGCUGCUGUGGUCACACCCUGUGUACACGGAGGGUGAAAGGCCUGGCAGCAUCCAGGAGCCCAAGGCAGAAGAGAGGGUCCUGGCCACAGCCGCCCAUUGCCUAGGAUGGACUCACCUGAAUCUGAACCUCAGCUCUUGUCUACAUUAGCCACGCCAAUGCAUCAACCCAGAAUGUACAUCUGAAGGAUGUCAAUUGGAAAUUGGGAAGUGAAGCGACAGCUUGGAUUAGAAGUCUGAAGCGUGAAGUGCAGAGGGAGGAAGAGCAGCUGCCAGUUUCCCUGCCGCUCAACCGCCCGUCCACCUUGCCGCACUCCUCCAGUCUCAUACACGUCCCUCUGGUUAACACUGCGCCCUCUUUGAGGGCAGAAUCUUUCCUUCUACAGAAUGUGGUUGCGAGUUUCUCUUCACCCUUCAAAAAUGAGUUGAAGAAAAAGAAUAAUUAAAAACAUUUUUUUUUAUUUUA